rnacentral:rRNA from 1 species
UUUGAUUUUAGUAUAUUAUUGAUAAAAUUAUUUUUGUUAUAGUAAAUUAGUACUGUGAAGGAAUUGUUGAAAUAAAUUACAUUUAAUUUUAUAUAAGUAUAUUUUAUUUAUAGUACCUUUUGUAUCAGGGUUGAUCAAUUAAUUCAAUUUAUNGUUUANUCUCGAUUUCAGAAGAGCUAAUUUUUUUAUUAUAGUUAAUGUUUCAUAAUUAUUAUUAAUAUAAAUUAGUAGAGAAAUUUUAUUCGAUUUUAAAGGUAUCUAGUUUUUUAAUAAAUAAAUUUAAUUUAGCUUUAUUAAUUAACUUUUAUAUUGUUUUAUAAGUUAUUUAUUAAGAGUAAAAUUAUAGGGGAUAAGCUCUAUAUUUUUCUAUAAAAAUCAAUAAAAUUUAUUUUUGUAGGGUUAAAAUUAUCUAUCAUUAGUAAGUUUGUUAUAAUUUAUAUAUUUUAAUUAUUAAUUUUAGGAUUUUUAGUAUAUUAUUAAAAUAUUAUAAUUAAUUUUAUAUUUUAAGUAAUAAUGAUUAAAUUAGUAUAAGAAUUUGUUUAAAAUGUUGUUUAUUUUAUAAUAAUAUAAGGAACUCGGCAAAUAUAGUUCUCGCCUGUUUAACAAAAACAUGUCCUUUUGAGUUUUAUAGAAGGUCUGACCUGCCCAGUGAUAAAUUUAACGGCCGCGGUAUACUGACCGUGCAAAGGUAGCAUAAUCAUUAGUCUUUUAAUAGAGGGCUGGAAUGAAAGGUUUAACGAGGAAUUGACUGUCUCAUAUUAUUUGUUUUAAAAAUUAAUUUUUUAGUUAAAAAGCUAAAAUUUUAUUGGAAGACGAGAAGACCCUAUAGAUCUUUAUAAUAUACUAUUUAUUUAUUUUUAUAUAAUUAUUUUUAAAUUAUUAUUUUAUUUUGUUGGGGUGACAAAAAUAUAUGAAUAACUUUUUUAUUUUAUUUACAUUGAUUUAUGAAUAUUAGAUCCAUUUUUAGUGAUUGUUAGAUUAAGUUACCUUAGGGAUAACAGCGUAAUCCUCCUCCAGAGUUCAUAUUUACAGGAUGGGCUUGCGACCUCGAUGUUGGAUUAAGAUAAUAAUUAGGUGUAGCCGCUUAAUUUAUAGGUCUGUUCGACCUUUAAAUUCUUACAU